rnacentral:rRNA from 1 species
UACAGAGGUCCCAAGCGUUGUUCGGAUUCACUGGGCGUAAAGGGUGCGUAGGUGGCGAGGUAAGUCGGAUGUGAAAGCUCGGAGCUCAACUCCGAAAUGGCAUUGGAAACUACCUUGCUCGAGGGUUGGAAGGGGGACUGGAAUUCUCGGUGUAGCAGUGAAAUGCGUAGAUAUCGAGAGGAACACCAGUGGCGAAGGCGAGUCCCUGGACAAUACCUGACACUGAGGCACGAAAGCUAGGGGAG